GAUGAACGCUAGCGGCAGGCUUAACACAUGCAAGUCGAGGGGUAGAAGUUGCUUGCAACUUUGAGACCGGCGCACGGGUGCGUAACGCGUAUGCAAUCUACCUUAUCCAGAGGGAUAGCCCAGAGAAAUUUGGAAUAAUACCUCAUAGUAUAAUUGAAAGGCAUCAUUUAAUUAUUAAAGUUCCAACGGUAUAAGAUGAGCAUGCGUCCUAUUAGCUAGAUGGUAAGGUAACGGCUUACCAUGGCAACGAUAGGUAGGGGUCCUGAGAGGGAGAUCCCCCACACUGGUACUGAGACACGGACCAGACUCCUACGGGAGGCAGCAGUGAGGAAUAUUGGACAAUGGGCGCAAGCCUGAUCCAGCCAUGCCGCGUGCAGGAAGAAGCAUCUAUGGUGUGUAAACUGCUUUUGUACGGGAAGAAACACUCCUUCGUGAAGGAGCUUGACGGUACCGUAAGAAUAAGGAUCGGCUAACUCCGUGCCAGCAGCCGCAGUAAAAC
rnacentral:rRNA from 1 species